rnacentral:rRNA from 1 species
UAAUGCCGGAUGCUCCGGUUGGAUGCAUGUCCUUCCGGGAAAGGUUCCAUCGGUAUGGGAUGGGGUCGCGUCCUAUCAGCUUGAUGGCGGGGUAACGGCCCACCAUGGCUUCGACGGGUAGCCGGCCUGAGAGGGCGACCGGCCACAUUGGGACUGAGAUACGGCCCAGACUCCUACGGGAGGCAGCAGUGGGGAAUAUUGCACAAUGGGCGCAAGCCUGAUGCAGCGACGCCGCGUGCGGGAUGGAGGCCUUCGGGUUGUAAACCGCUUUUGAUCGGGAGCAAGCCCUUCGGGGUGAGUGUACCUUUCGAAUAAGCACCGGCUAACUACGUGCCAGCAGCCGCGGUAAUACGUAGGGUGCAAGCGUUAUCCGGAAUUAUUGGGCGUAAAGGGCUCGUAGGCGGUUCGUCGCGUCCGGUGUGAAAGCCCAUCGCUUAACGGUGGGUCUGCGCCGGGUACGGGCGGGCUGGAGUGCGGUAGGGGAGACUGGAAUUCCCGGUGUAACGGUGGAAUGUGUAGAUAUCGGAA